rnacentral:rRNA from 1 species
GGAAUGAUGGUGACUUAAACCCUCACCAGAGUACCAAUUGGAGGGCAAGUCUGGUGCCAGCAGCCGCGGUAAUUCCAGCUCCAAUAGCGUAUAUUAAACUUGUUGCAGUUAAAAAGCUCGUAGUUGAAUUUCAGCCUGUUGCACUAGCUCGAGUAGCGCGUUGCGAUCGGCUUAUUUUAUUACUUUGAGAAAAUUAGAGUGUUUCAAGCAGGCUUUUGUCUUGAAUACUUGAGCAUGGAAUAAUAGAGUAGGACCUUGGUUCUAUUUUGUUGGUUUUGUACCUUGGUAAUGGUUAAUAGGAACGGUUGGGGGCAUCCGUAUUUAACUGUCAGAGGUGAAAUUCUUAGAUUUGUUAAAGACGAACUACUGCGAAAGCAUUUGCCAAGGACGUUUCCAUUAAUCAAGAACGAAAGUUAGGGGAUCGAAGACGAUCAGAUACCGUCGUAGUCCUAACCAUAAACUAUGCCGACUAGGGAUUGGAGGUCGUCAUUUUUCCGACUCCUUCAGCACCUUGAGAGAAAUCAAAG